UACGGAGGGGGCUAGCGUUAUUCGGAAUUAUUGGGCGUAAAGGGCGCGUAGGCGGCCCGGUAAGUCAAAGGUGAAAUCCCUCGGCUCAACUGAGGAACUGCCUUUGAAACUGUCGGGCUUGAGGCCGGGAGGGGGUAGCGGAAUUCCCAGUGUAGCGGUGAAAUGCGCAGAUAUCAGGAGGAACACCGGUGGCGAAGGCGGGUCUCUGGGCAACAACUGACGCUGAGGAGCGAAAGCGUGGGGAGCGAACAGG
rnacentral:rRNA from 1 species